AGUGGCGCUAUGCUGUCAAUACAAUCUGCCUCGUGGGUUUUCCACGGUCUUCUAGAUCAACCUCAGCAAGAAAAUUAUCACUUUUAGCUGUGCUACUUUCUCUCAUGGUGUGUUUGUUGAUUACAUUAACAUUGGGACUGGUGUUACAGCUGAGAGAAGAGAAACUUCCAUAGAGGAUCAGGCAUUAAGCAUCAACUUGUUACCUCACCUUACGCUGGGCAUUGCUUUACGAGCUGUUUUAGAUGCUUUGAGGAAGCCUGAAGAUUCAAAAGUUUGUUCCUUCCUAGGUUAUCAGUUAAUGUUAUUAUUGAGAAUUUCAGUCUGACCAUGGCUUUAUGACAUUCAUAUGUUUUUCUUUGGGACUGAGGCAUUGGAGCAGUUUGUGGACCGUCUCAUUGGGUGGUCACAGUACUGCAAUCUUAUCCUGCACUUUGUAGCAUUUAUAGGGAGGGCACUUAAUAAGAUUUCAGCUGCUCAUACUGAACCUGAUUUAGAGGGAACCUUUAGCUGCAAUCUUUCUAUUCCCUCAUGGAGAGUUUGUAUCUGGCUGGUGCUCGUCUGACCCUCUAGUUUCUGAAGAGGAUACACCAUUAGACUAUUAUACCUCAAUUCUCUUAUGCUCAUCAGAGAACUUUGGUGUUGAAUAAAGUGAUUUCAAACCUUCAUUGCUUUGUUCCUGAUGUAUGCCAGGAUGAGAAGGAUCUGUCAACAAAUUCAUUCGGUUCAUAUAGAAGGACUAUCAGAAACUGUCAGAUGGAUUCUUUUCUCUACUUCAGAGCUGACAAAGUAUCCACAAUUAGCAAGAACUUAUGACUAGCUUCCUGUAUUGGACUCUAAGCCCAGAUGAAAAAAAGAGUAGCCCAACGCUACAUUUUCUCUGGAAUAUGCGUCCUAAAAAGGAGUUUUAAUGCAGAAACGGAAGGUACGAAGGAUCAGUCAUUAAGCAUCAGCUUGUUACUCACCUUAUGCUGGGCAUUGCUUUACGAGCUGUUUUAGAUACUUUGAGGAAGCCUGAAGAUUCAAAAGUUUGUUCCUUCCUAGGUUAUAAGUUAAUGUUAUUAUUGUGAAUUUCAGUCUGGCCAUGACUUUAUGACAUUCAGAUGAUUUUCUUUGGGACUGAGGCAUUGGAGCAGUUUGUGGACCGUCUCAUUGGGUGGCCACAGUACCGCAAUCAUAUCCUGCACUUUGUAGCAUUUAUAGAGAGGGCACUUAAUAAGAUUUUAGCUUCUCAUACUGAACCUGAUGUUGGCCAUAGUGUCUAUACUAAUCACCGACUUGGAUUCAAUCUUCUGAUCCACAUAUGGAGGUAUUAAGCAUAGAGUUGUGUGGCAAUGGAGGCGUUCUGUUCUUAUUCUGGUCAGGCCGUCAUGGACUUAAAGUUAUCGGGCUCAAACAAUAUUUCCUCAUACAUGGAUGCUAUCUCUUUGAAUAAGUGGAUAUAUGUCUUUGAAUAUUACAACUGCUGGUGAAGUUAGCACACCAUUAAAAUUUUAUGUGCUUGUGCUUGGUGUGGUUGUGUGAACAGCCCCUUAUUUCUUAAAGUAAAUCUGAUUUUUUUCCGUUGUUGCUUUUGCACUUUUGUGAAGCUGAAAGUGUAUCCUACCUAGAUGAGGUGGCCAGCAACACAGCAACUCAGGAUAUAGCAAAGUUUGUUGGACUCGAGGUUCUUGCGUUGCUAAAAAAUUUGUUUAAUGCUCCCUCUGAGGCAAGCUACCCGAAGGGGCAACUGGAACUUAAUGCAAUGCGCUUGGCAGAUGUCUUGUCAGAUGAUUCAAAUUUUCUGUCAUUCAUCAUGAUAAACUUUGUAAGCUUUCCAUCAGUACAACUAAUUUUAAAAUUUUAGAGUGCUAUGGAUUCCGUGCCAUGGUUUCUUUGCUAUUCAUGAUUGAAGGUCGAAAAGACUCGAAGCAUGACAUCUGAGUUUUUUAGAAAAUGUCUUUGCCUAUUUGAACACACCAAUGAUGUGCUUGAAGAUAUUUUUUUGAUCAAAUUGCUGGUUUUAACAAAUGGAUAUUAAUUUUAUGAAAGUAAAUUGAUACAUGAUAAGUCGUAUUCUAGGCCUUGGUUACGGGUCAGUAUGAUGUGCUUAAUUGAUUAUAU